CGGAGCUGGAGGGGGAGGAGGGGAGGAACCUGAUCCUCGGUAGCAAAGGGCUGGAGGCAAACACCGAGCUCCCCCUGAGCCGCCCGGGAGAGGGGAGGGCUCUGCUACCCCCAGGGGCCCUCCCUGCGGGGCAGAGGUGAGAAAGCAGCCGUCACAAACACAUGACUGAAGCCGAGUUCGGCGUGCACGCCUGCAGUCCCGGCACUCGACAUUCCGGAGGUGGGAAGAACCCAGCACGAAGCGCGGAACAUACGCCCGCCUUGGGGAAAGACGCGAGGAUAUGGAAAAUUUCAAUCAAAUGAUCCCGUGGAACAGCAUCGGCAUACAAAGAGUGUUCCAGUGACUGACCUCUUUUUGUUUUCAAAUGAAGAGGAGCCAAGAAUAGGACUGCUUGGGAAGGUGCGCUGCAUAGAACUCUCGAGGCUGAGUUCUGAAGGGCUCCCGAGAGACCACCCACACUUUCCAUCCUACCGGCGGCGACAAAGCACCUGCGCACCUGCGAGGAGGACGGAGCCUCUGUGUCUGCCCUGUGCCUGCAUCACCUCGGAGGCUGGCUGAGAUGCAGCUUCCAGUUCAGAAGCCCCAGUGGAAGGCUGUCUUCUGCACAUCUGAAAGCAUUGCCCAGGUGAAGUUGCACCACCAGCAAGAAAGGAAUCUUCCUGGACUCCAAGAGAAAGCCUGCCUCCUUAUCUCAACUCUUAGGAAUGGCUCUCCUGCUGCUGACAGAGCCAUAUGGGCCCAGCCCUAAGGUCCUUCUCUCUGCUUGCCGCUUGCCGAUUGAGAUGGGAGCUGUUCCUGCCGCCAUGUCUGCCACCUGUUGCCAAGAUUCCCUGCCACGAUGGUCUCUUAUCCCUCUGGAGCCAUAAGCCAGUAAAAUCUUCUAUAAGCCGCCUUGAUCAUGAACGGCCGCUCAGAACUGAAGCAGAGGAGGAGGGCUUCGGGCAGAGCUGUGAGGUUGGAGGUGGAGGACAAGGUCAAGCAGCCUUAGCAGAUGCCUUGAUUUUAUCAGCGUGGGACAGAGAAAGCCAUCAGUUACAAUUCCCAGAGACAUACUCUAACGGCGAUAUGUGUGCUGCUUCCUCAGUGCCCACCUCAGAGUGGAGACCGUGGGAGCAGCGCCACCGCCGCCGCCGAAGGCUUCUGAUGGACAAGAGGCACGAAUGGCUCCUCGGCUGUUGCUCUGCCUGACUUUUAAUGAGAGCCGCUGUGGACGUACAAGCGUCAGGGUGAGUGCUGACAGUAGGUGAAGUCACUUGCCGUCUGCACGACCUGCUUCUGCACCCUGCGGCUCUCCUCACCUGCUUCACAGUCCUGCUGCCCUGGCUUCGUACCCUGCCUCUCUAAGCCAACAAGGAAGGGCAGACACCAAGCGGCUAUUGUGUUUGUACUCAAUGGGCAUUCAUUAACUACGUUCUCGUGCGCUACUGAACAUGGGGAAGAAAGUUACUUCAUUAUUAUCAACGGAUGAUAGAUCUGCCCGUUCUCUCUCUUACUUGAGGAGGACUGUUAUUUAGUAUUUUUUCUUUCUAUUUUUCCUUCAUUGUCUUCUUUAUAACUGAGAUAAUUCCAGUAAUAAUUACAGCUCCUGGUCUGGGAUGUAACUCAAUGAGAGAGACAAUUUUAGGUACCCGCUACCAUACAUUCAAUUUCCAGACCCCCAAGCUCUCUAAAAGAAAGGGGAAAAAAUGUAACAACUAUACCUACUACUUAUUGACUUUAUCUAAAGAAGAACCAAAUCCUGGGGGCUUAGAAUGCCAAGCUUGUCCACCCUCCAAGAAGGGACUCAGUCAUUCGUUUUCCAGGGAAAGUAGCUCAUUUCAGGUGAUUGUUAUCCUCAGGUGGCCACCUUAAGUAUAGGUUAAUGGUGGUGUGGAAUUCGUGUCCAUUGAAUAUCUGUAACGAGCUGUGUUUUUGCAUGCAUGAUUAUUUAUGGGCUGAGUACAGUUAUUAUUAGGCCGUUUUGUCACUAGAAAAUGAAGAUUUAGAGAGAUUAAGGGAAGCUUGGUGACUAGCCACCUUCCAUUCAUGCAACAUACAACAAACAUUAUUGCAUGCUUACUGCAUGUCAGGCACUGUCACCGACGUAAGGGGCAGCCACAGCUAACUCAGGUAAGGAUUCUGUUCUCAUGGAGACAAACAAGGGAGCAGCAAACUCAAAGAUGAGAUCAUUUCAGAUAGUGACUCAUGCUACAGGAAAAACAAGACAGGGUUACUGCUAGUUGUAUUAGUUACUGUUUGGUUGCUGCCACAAAAUACCAUGACCAAGGCAACCUACAGAAGGAAGCAUUUAAUUGGGCUGUAUGGUUUCAGAGGAUCAAUGGUACAACAAAGUCUUGACUGCAGGUAUAGCUUGCUCAGAGCUCACAUCUUGGUCUGCAAGCAGGAGGCAGAGAAACUCACUGGGAAUGGCGUAAGUCUUUUGAAACCUCAAUGCCUGCCCCCGUGAUAGAAUUCCUUCAACAAGGCCACACCUCCUAAUCCUCCCCAAACAGCCACCAACAAAGAUUUAUGGGGGACAUCUCAUUUAAGCCAUCACCAUAGUGAUCAUCAGGAAUGGGGACAACCACCCAACGGAUAGAGAAUGAAGGAGACCUAAAUGAUGAGAAGUUGAUUGUCAUGGUUUGAAUGAGAAUGUCCGUAGAGGCUCAGAUAUUUGAAUACGUGUCUGCUAAGUUGGUGGCACUGUUUAGGUAGGUUUAGGAGGUGUGGCCUUGCUGGAGGAAGUAUGUCACUGGGUGGGUGGGGGUGAGAUUUCAAAGCCACAAGCCAUUCCCAGUUUGUGAAUGCUUCCUGCUUAUGGUUAGAGAUAUGAGUUCCCGGCUGUUGCUUCAUCCAUGUUUGCUGUCUGUGGCUAUGAUUCCCUCAUGAGAUUCUUAUCACUUUGGAACUAUAAGCCCAAACUGUCUUCUAGAAGUUGCCUUGGUCAUGGUGUUUUAUCACAGCAAUAGAAAAGUAGCUAAGACCGUGACAAUACAAAUACUCAGUGAGGCCACAAAUGUCAAGGUCCUAAGGGGCAGGAACAGUAAUUGACCUUCAACACGCAACUGGGUUAUCUAGUUUUUACUUCUUUUAUAGCUAUUGAGGUAAUAUUUUACAUAUUAUAAAAGCUGCCUAUUUAAAUGUACAGCUCGUUGUUUUAAAGGUAUUUUCAGACUGGUACGUCUAUCUCAACUACCCAAUCCAAGACAAUUUCCAGACCUGUGAAGAAGCCUUGUAUUCACAGAUGUCAUGACUCAUCCCAGUCCCUACCCUCGGGGAGCCACUAAUCUACUACUGUCUGCGUCUCUGGACUUGCACAUUGUGAAGCUAUGGCAUGGCUAGUUCCUAACGUGUCAUCUUCCGUGACCAGUUUCCUUCAUUUAGCAUAGUGUUUUCAUAGUUUCCCCCACGUUGUAGUACUUACCAAUAUGUCUGUUUUUAUAUGGUUAUAGCAGAUUUUGAUUAUCCAUUCUUCAAUUUAUAAACAUGAAUUGCUUUCUCUUUAUGUCCAUUAUACAUAAUGUUGUUAUGAACAUUUACAUACAAAUAUUUGUACAUAAUACAAAUGUACACAUUUUUAUUUCUUUUGGUGUAUAUAUAUCUAUACGCACAUAUGUACAUCUAGAAAAGAAUUUCCAUGUCAUUCAGCCUUUUCAGGACUCAGUACUCAGCAUUAUAUGAAGAUUUCAGUUUCUUUAUAGUCUCACUAACAAGGGACAUUCGUGUGGGUGUGAAGAUUGUGUCUGGGGUUUUGACUUGUGCUUUCCUAAUGAAAGCUAAGCAUCUGUCUGCAUGGGCCAAUUGUAUCAAUUUUUCUGAUAAGUGUUUAUUCAGAUUUCUUGCUGAUGUUUUUCAUUGGGUUAUUUUUUUUUUCUGAGACAAAGUUUCUCUAUAUAACAGUCCUGGCUGUCCUGGAACUCACUCUGUAGACCAGGCUAGCCUCAAACUCACAGAGAAUCCACCUGUCUCUGCCUCCUGAGUGCUGAGAUUAAAAGUGUACAUCACUACUGCCAGGCUCAUUGGGUUAUUCUUUUAUGAUGGAGUUUUGAUAGGUUUUCUGUACUCUGGAUAUAAGGUCCUUGUCAUAUAUCUGCAAAGGCUUAUCUGUAAUUCUGUAAUUUGCCCUUUUAUUUUCUUGAUCGUGUUCUUUGAAACACAACAGUGUUUUUUAAAUUAUUCUUUGUUGUCAGAGGCUGUUUGUUUGUUCUCAGAUGCCCUGACCUGAAAUAUUCACAUAGAAACUGUAUUAAUUACAAUACUGCUUGGCCAAAGCCUCUAGCAUAUUCCUAGCAAGCUCUUUUUUUACAUCUUAAAUUAACCCAUUUCUAUUAAUCUGUGUAUCACCACAUGGCUGUGGCUUACAGGCAAGGUUCGGCACAUCUGUCUACAAUGGUGGCUACAUGGCUUCUCCCUGACUCUGCCUACCCUUUCUAUAUAUCUUUCCAGCCUGGCUAUAUUCCGUUAAGUCUUUGGCUGACAGCAGCUUCUUUAUUCAUUAACCAAUAAAAGCAACACAUAUAUAGAAGGACCUCCCUCACCAGUUCUUUGUGUAUAUCUAUGUGGGAGCACACCAUGGUACAUGCGUGGGGGUCAGAAGACAACUUGUGGGAAUUAGUUCUCUUUGUCCACUGUGGGCUCUGAGGAUUGAAGGGAGGUUAUUAGGCUUACACAUCAAGUCUGUUUAUUUUUCCCCUUGAACUAUCUCACUGACCCAUGAAGCAGAAAUUUUUUUACUUUUAAAAUCCAAUUAGUCCAUUUUUUAAAAAUUCUUGACACUUUUCUUUUAAAUUCCCUUUUUUGCAAGGUUUUGCAAAGAUUUUUGCAAGAUUCCCUUGCACCUUUGCUUCCUCGCGGAGGUACUUAUUUAUUUGGCUGUGGAUUGAGCCCAGGGCCUCCUACAUGCUAGACACAUGUUCUGCCACUGAGCUGAAUCUCUAUCCUAGGAAGAAAUUUUAGUUUUGUGCCAAGCACAGUAGGACACACCUGUAAUCUCAGCACUCAGAAGACAGGGACAGGAGGAUCAUUACAUUUCAAUCCAAUCUCUUCCACAUAGCAAGUUCCAAGUCAGCCAAGCUACAUAGUAAGACACCAUAGAAAAAAAAAAUAGAAAGAAAAGUAUCAUUUUAAUUCUUACAUUUAGGUCAAUGAUUCAUGGUGAAUUAGUACUUUAUUAAUUUUUCAAUUAGAGUACGAAUCAAUGGGUUUCAUUGUGUCAUUUUCAUGCAUACAUUCUGUACUUUAAAUAAUAUUGGGGGGAAGAGUGUAGUGCAGAGAGUCCCACUUUACUCUUUUUGCCUGUAGAUAAUCAGCUGUCCCAGCACCAUUUUUUGAAAAAAAUAGUUUUAACUGGGCCCACACCACAAGACCUGUAAUCCUAGCUGCUCCUGAGGCAGAAGUAUUGCGAGCUCAAGACCAGCCCAGGAUACAGGAGUUCGAAGCCAGCAGAUAAUUUAGUGAUAUUCUGUGUCCAAAUGAACGGUGAAACCGAAGGGCAAGGGUAUAGCUCAGAGGGAGAGUGCCUACCUUGCACAGAGGAGGCUCAGACCCAGGGCCAAAGCCCAAUAAACAAGCAAAACCCAACAUAUUUCCCCUAUUAAGUCGCUUUGGCACCUUGUCUAAAACUGACCAUAAUGUGGAUUUAUCUCGAUACCAUCAAGUUUUGCUGGUUUCUGUAGCUACCCUCAUACCUUAUAUCACAUUAUAUAGGCUCUGAAAUACUCCUCUUCCGUCUUUGUUCUUUUUCAAGGCUACUGUGCCUAUUCUCAGCUAUUCUUCCAUAUGACUUUUAUCCAGCCUGUCAGUGUCUGCAGAAGAAAAGAUGUUGAAAUUUUGAUAGGAAUUGCAAUGGAUAUCAUUACUAGCUUAUAAAAAUACAAUUGGUUUUGCACAUUUAUUUCAUAUCCUAACACAUUUCUGAACUUGAUGUAUUUUUAAUUAUGAUUCAUUACUGCUUACUCACUGAGGCACUGUAUUAGGCAUUAUAAGACAUACAGAGAUGGUCUAAGAUGCUUAUAACAUAGGUUAAGCUUACUGGAUUCAACAGUGGCCAUGCUUGGAACAAACAGGGAUGUAUGGAAUUGCCGAAUGAGUAUUAGAGAAAGGUAGACUUCUGAAAAGACAAUUCAGAGCUGGAGCAGCCUGGAAGAGACUGAGUAGGAAGGCCAUGCCUUCCUUGCACCUCCCCUUUCUCCUUCCUUUUUUUUCUUUAUUUUCUCCAGCCCACUUUCUCUAGAAACACUGGUAGACCAUAACCAGAGGUGGCUGCUGUUUCUCAAGCCUGGCCGAUCAUCAGAACUUCUUGGAAAGCCUUCUAAAGUACAGAUCCCAGGCUCCCCGGCCCAGGGCUGCUGUGUCAUGCUCUCAGAUGAGGAGGCACGGACAGCCGCGUUAACAUUUUUAUCUAAUUUUCUGCCAAUGUUGGGAAUUUCUGGAUAUGGUUAUAAUUAUAUUCACAUAUGGUCUAGUAUCUCUCUCCGUCUACUGUAUCUCCAGUUCUUUCCAGGACACUCGGGGGUGCAGGUCACAAGGGUAUCUGGGUAAGUGAUCCUGUCUGGCUUCUCCACUAACGAGAGCCACGUCUAUUGUACGCAUUUCUAAGAGCGUGCAUUCGUGCUUUUAUCAGCAUGUUUAUGGAGAUAACUCACUAUAUAAAACAAAUGCUUACUUUUCAUAAGUAAGAAUUCCAAGGAGAACCUUUUGCUAUGCUGUCCAGGCUCCUCGGUGUCACUUGUAGGGCAUAUAAUCCGUUAUCCAGAAAUUUUUAAAAAUUUUUAUUUAUGUAUUUUUUUUUAAAGACAUGGAUUAUCAUGUAACUCUCUGGCUGGUCCGGAACCCCUCUGUAGACCAGGUUUGGUCUUGAAUGCAGAGAUCCAUCUGCCUUUGCCUCCCUCGUGUCCUUUUAAUAUUUUUAAAUAAAAUGUCUAGUUUUCAAAGUCCUUUGCAUCUCAACUUUCCCAGAAGUAACCAACUUCUUAAAGAUACUUUUAACUAUACAAAGUAUUAGCUUAGAGUGUCAAGGAUGUAUAUAAACACUACACAUACUUUCCCACAGCCCUUUUCUCAUGAAAUACUAUUAGCCCGUUGUCUAACUAUUUUAGACCCUUGUCUCCCAGAAGUAGAAAUUCAUUAUGUCAAUAGUUUUGUUUUUGUUUUUUUUUUGUUUAUUUGUUUGUUUGUUUGUUUGUUUGCGUGGGGAUCUCAGGUUUUCCUAUCACCCACAUUCUUGUGUCAGUCCCCUGAGACCCAGGUAGGGAUGUGGGGUAUAAGUUAGGGUGGACAUUACCAGGAAAUGGAUAUGCACUUUUGACUUUACCAGAUGUCUUUGGAGGUUACCCGGAACAUUAACUUAUCCAAUUUUUUCCUCUCAUCAAUGACUUAUGAGAAUGUGUCUUCUUAGGAGGCAGAGGCAGGAGGAUCUCUGUGAGUUUGAGACCAGCCUGGUCUACAGAGCUAGUUCCAGGACAGGCUCCAAAACCACAGAGAAACCCUGUCUCAAAAAACAAACAAACGAACAACAAAAAAAGAAUGUGUCUUGCUCCACAUUGAAAACCGAUACCAUCAAGUUUUUAAAGUCAACAUGAAGCCGGAGCGAGUGCCACCCAUCCUAAUGAUGUGAGUUUGAUGCCCCAGACCCAUGAGGUGAGAAGAGAGGACCGACUUCCCCGAGUUGUCCUCUGACCUCCACACUUUAUAAAAACAUGUAAAAUAUUUUUAAAGAAUUGGGAAGUAAGCAUCUUCCUGGGUCAUCCUCUCAGAUUCCUGUAUGGUAGCUUAAGAAUAUGACUGCAAACAGGCUUCAGAUGAUUUUGAGGAGCUGAGAGCUUCUCUGCUCCGAAUAGGCAUGCAUACACAUUGACAAGAGAAUGUCACUGGGAUCAGCUUAAGGGAGGAGAGUUGUAUGUUGGUUCAUGGCUUCGGGCAAUAGGGUGACCUAUGGAGGGGAGGCCAUGGCAUUGCGGUUGGUUGGUCUUUGUGAAGAUGACUCACAUUGUGACUGACCAGGAAGUAGAGAGCUCAAUAGGAAACCAGGCUACGCAGUAACCUUCAGAACCCCGCCCUCAAUGACUCACCUCUGCCAGCCUGACAAUCUCACGAAACAGCGCCACCAGCUGGCACCAAGUGUUAACACGGGAACCGUGGAAGACAUUUCACAUCGGAACUGUCAUAGUGAAACUUCUCUGUUUGGUUAGACACAUCCGUGUUGGCUGUGCUUGCAUCAUUUAAGAAAGAAAGUGUGCGCAACAAACCUUGCAGAUAUAUUUUUCUUUGUUUUUCCCUUUUCAAUUUUCUUUUUCUUUUUUUUUUUAAAUUUGAGACAGGUGGUGUAGAAAGUGCCAUCCUCCUGCCUCAGCUGUUCAAGAGCUAGAAUUACGGAUGUGCACCACCACACCCGACACUGCAGACGCAUUUGAAUAAGACAAUAGGAUGUGAUUUGCCAGUCCGCAGCGUGGUACUUACAGCCCUACCUGUGCCAGCUACGCUGAUAGGAGGUGGCCCCUUUCUGGAAGCCCUUUAUACGCACCACCAAUGCUUAGGGCAGGGUGCAUGUCGGAGAUGCCUGCCAGCCCACUGGGUGGUGUUGCUGUGGCUUUUUCAAAGCCUGGAGGAAUCCGAGAAGCAACUGAGAGGAAUGAUGCACGGAAACAAAAGGCAGUGGAAAGAGUGACCAGCCAGCAGGCUCUGGCAGGCUAGAACGCUCCGUCCUUGUUGUUACUGCUUCACGAAAAUGCCGCGGGCCUUCUGGCAGGGUCUGCAAGGUAGAGCCGUCCUGGGAAAACAAGGAUGAGGGAUGCUGAGUGGGAUGCUAGUUUCCCACAUCACUGCUCCCCAGUGGAUGCUCCACCGUGAGGAUGGGGACCCCCGUGCCCCUGGUGCUAAGAGGCAGGUAGAAUUUCCCAGGGCCUCAAACACACUAGGCAAAUCAUUCUACCAUCGCACCAUACCUCCAGCCGGCUGCUGUGUUUUAAUUCCUGGCCUCGUCUUCCUUGGGUGAACUACUGGCAGGUACAGGAACUGUUUUCGGGAAACACUGCCGUCAUUACCUCUGAGAGGCAAAGUUCGUGGCUGUUAUUUUCCAUUUACAAACGGAAGCUUUCUCUCUCAUUCACCAAUUACUCCGCUCAAAGAAAUGUGUGAGGAGUUUGAUGUGCUCCCAAGGUAUGAGAGACUGGUUCUUGCUCUCAAAGUCAUACUUUUACUUGAAUGAAAAGAUGUUGGCCCGUGAAAGCCACUGUGCUUUGGGAGCCUGUGGUGCAUGGGAAGGAUCCUAGCAGAAACUCCACAUGGAAUACAGACAGAGAUGCAAUCCCAGGGCAGCGAGUGUCAGAGGAAAGGGGAAGCAAGAAGACAAGGCAAUUCUGCCCAAGGGUGCUUCAGAAGCCACAGAAAGAUGGAAUGCCUGCUCCAAUGGCUUUGCAGAAUAUCACUGUGCUAGGGGAUGAAACCGUGCCUCAGGAUCACCCUUCCGCCCUCUGAUUUUAUAGACAGGGUCUCGCUGUAUAGCCCUGGCUGACAUGGAAUUCGCUGUGUAGACCAGACUGACAUUGAACUCCCAAGUGCUGAGAUUAAAGAUGGUAGGUACCACCACACCAUGCCCAGUAUUGCCUUUUAAAUGACUGCAUGUCCUAAUUUAAAAUUAGAAUGGCCUAUCCGAACUUUAAAGGGUUUUGUCAUUAGCACUUACUUUUUUUUUGCAUGUAAUUUACAAAUUUGUUGCUUUUUCACCCAUCUAUCCCAAAUAAAAAGAAAGAAUAGCUGUUUUAGUCUCUGAUGUACCCUAGGUGCCUAGAACAUUUCAUGAAACAUAGUGGUCCUUAAUACCAUAAUCAUGUACCUCCUAGUAAUAUUUGGGUUAAAAAUGAAGUGAAUGGGGUGCUGGCAAGAGAGCUUAGUGGUUAAGAGCAUGCUCUCCCAUAGGACCUACGCUCAGCUCCUAGCACAAAUUCACAGUUGCCUGUAACUCCAACCCCAGAUCUCAUGUUUUCUGGGCUCCAUGGGCACCUGCACACGUUGGACAUAAAUACUCUUCUCUCUCUCUCUCUCUCUCUCUCUCUCUCUCUCUCUCUCUCUCUCUCUUUCACACACACACAAUUAAUUAAAAAUAAAAUAUAUUGGAAACGGAGUGCAUAAGUAACAAUGACCCACAAGAUUAUAUGGUGUAGUAACACGGCAGCCAUCUGAGCUUGUGUAAGCAGACUCAGCCAUAGUCUCAUAAGGAUGAGAUUUCCUCUAUGCUCUCUUAGAACACAUCCCUUUGUUAUUUGUGGAGGGGAUGAUCACACUGUCUUGGGGUAAACAAAGUUGGAGUGUCUUAGAGAUUAAUUUCCAAAGAGCUUCCUGGUGGGCAUGCUAAAGGUCCUCCCCUAAUUCUUCCCGGAAGUUGAAUGGUCAUAAUCACAAUAUUACCUAAGGGAUUGACCAGCAAACUCUUUUUCCCCAAAUACCUCUAAAGUUAAACUUCCACUGAAGUGUAGGUAAAAUUAUCUGAAUUAAUGACUUUGAUCAACUCCUGAUUCGUGGACUCAUGGACUCUGUAGUACUAUGGCUUAUCUAUCAUGACCCAGGAGUUCUAACCUAUGGUUGGGAUAUAUCCAGAGCUAGUAACAUCUACUCUAGGCCAGGCAGGCAGACAUUUCAACCUAUGAGGCCAGUUGCUCAUCUUUGGCAUGGUACAGAUAAGUAAAUGAAGUCUAUAGAGGCCCCAGAUCCAGAAUCAAAUAGAGGAUGCAGAUUUCAAACCAUCCAUUCCCGAAGGCUAUGAUUUUUCUAGAAUCUCCUUUUAAGCCACCGGUUUCUCCUUCAUAAUAUGUAGCAACACUACUUGUGUACGGAGUUGCUGUGACAAUUAAAUAUAUAUACAGCAGAAUUCUCAGCAGAUGACAGCAUUCACUUCGGCUGCACUUUAGGAAUGAUAAUGAGUCUUUUCCCUUGGGGAACAAUCAUGAAACCUCUCCAGGGAGAAAAACAAGAGCCCUGACUUAGUGGGUGACAGAAAUAGGUUCUACGGAGGUGGGUGUGUUGGAGUAAUCCUGUCUAAACGUCUAACUUUUAAACAAGUUGAAAUUCUUAUUUAGGAGUUGACCAAACAGAUAUGAUCAUCUAAUUAAUCCUGGACUUUCAGCCUCCAAAACUAUGAAUCGAAUAAACCUCGUUAUAGAGUAUCGGCCUUAUGUAUCUUGUUAUUGCAACAGAAAAUUAAUUAAUACAAUGUCGGAAGCACCCCAUGAUCAAAAAUAUCAGUGGGUAUUGCUAAGUGUCCAUCUCAAGACACGAGAUUUCUCUAAAAAGAAUCAAAUGCAAUGUCAAGGUCUUAGCCCAGCGGCUGGGGCUCUAGCUCAUUUGGUAGACUGCUUGCCUGACAUGCACACAGUCCUGGCUUCCAGCCUCAGCAGGACAUAAACUGGGGGUUGUGGUGCCCAUCUGCAAAGCACUCAGAGGCUGGAAGAGGCAAGACCAGGAGUUCCAGGCCAUCCUUGGAUCCAUGGCAGGGGUGGGGGGAGCCUCACUGUCAGCCUGGGCUACUUGAGACCUUGUCAAAAAGAGAAAGCAAGCAAGCAUGAAAAAGCAAGAAAGGAAGGAAAGAAGAAAGAAAGAUCAAAGAUUUGUAGUGAUGAGGCGAGCAGGCCUGCUUUUCAUCCUGCCCAGCUCCUGCCCCGGAAAUAACAACACACAAACUGUAUUCAUUUAAACACUUCCUGGCCCAUUAUAUCUAGCCUCUUCUUGGCUAACUCUCAUAUCCUGCUUUAACCCAUAUCUAGUAAUCUCUGUAUCACCACGGGGUCAUGGCUUACCGGGAAGAUUCUAACCCACAUCCAUCUUGGGCCGGAGCUUCAUGGUGGUUGCCUGACUCUGCUUUCUUUCUCCCAGCAUUCUGUUCUGUCUUCCCUGCCUACCUAUGUUCUGACCUAUCAGGCCAAGCAGUUUUCUUUAUUAAUUAACCAAUGAAACAACAGAUAGAUAGAAGACCCUCCUACAUCAAAGAUUGGUCUUUGAGACAAAGAGAAAGGGGAAAAGGUUUAUAUAAGGAAUUUAGACAAUUGUAGACUUUUAAUAUGAACUUAAAGAUAUUAUUAAAUCACUGCUAAUUUUCCCAAGUCUUAAAUGGUAUUAUAGUUAUAUUGAAUACCCUUAGUCUUUGAAGAUGUAUGCUGGAUUAUUUUAAGUGAGAUGCCAAUUAAAAAUUUCAAUAUUCAACUUAUUUUCAAAUGGACAAGCAUGCCUAAUCAUAGGAAGAGAUAAUGCAAAGGUGAAAAGAAUAUAAACAGUAGCUGAACAGAGAUGAAAAAUACAGAGUCAUUUGGUCAUUUGUUGGAUUUUUUCAAGCUUUGUGGAGUUCAGAGUCUUCAAAAUAAAAAGCUGGGGUUGGGGAGUCAUCUCUACUUCAUGACUCCUUACUAACCUGAUACAAUAGAAGGAACAGGCUGCCUUAAAUGAGUCUGAGUUCCCCCUUUGGAGUUGCCUGAGCAAUGAGCUAGCUCAAACCGUGUGUAUGGGACUAGACUGAGGCAGGGCCUGGGGAUGGGUGGAUGUGCCUGGAGGUUACUGGCUUCUUGUUCCUUGUGUAAUAAAUAUCCCACCAAAAGUCUAAGUGCGGCGAUAGAGUGCCUUGGAGCCCCCAUGGUGGCAUCAACUGUUUCCUCAUCCCCAAUCCUCUAUAAAGAGUCCCAGCCAGUUGGUUCUCUUGGCAGAUCCUUCCAUUUCCCAAGGGAGAGGGGCUGUCCCUUGCUAUGCGUGUUAAUAAACAGACUUGCCUCAUCUGUUCAGAUCAGACCCUAGUCUCUUCCUGCUUUCAGCCUCUAUGCUGCCUCUGAAAUCCAACACUGGGCAAGGUAUGUGGGUUUUCCAGGCAACUCUGGUAAACAGGCACCAAAAUCCAGGCUGCCCAGGGUCAACAUAGUCCCUUUCCCUUAUCCCUUUCCCUAAGGAAGUGGAUCUCAUUCCUAUGCAUGUAAAAGAGAGAGAUGGGGUCCGUUAAAUGGGAUAUAAACCAUUCUCUGACCAGACACCCAAGCAACAAUGAACCAUGGAGUCUCUGUAUCUUCUUUUAAUGAUACUUGCUUUGUCAAUUUUUUCUUUCCACAAUAAAACCUAAUUUCUUGUGCAUGUGUGUGUGUGUGUGUGUGUGUGAGAGAGAGAGAGAGAGAGAGAGAGAGAGAGAGAGAGAGAGAGAGAGAGAGAGAGAGAGAAAGAGAGAUUGCAUGUGUGAGCAGAGAGCCCAGAGGCUGAUGUCUUCUUUGAUGGCUUCCUCUUAACUUUUGAGGCAGGGUCUCUCACCAAACCUGGUGCUCACUGGCUAGCUUGGCCAGCUAAGAGCUACAGGGACCUCCCUGUCUCCAUCCUCCUAGUGCUUGAGUUAUAGAUGUAUACAACCUCUCCGAGCUUCUUAUGUGACUUCUGGGGAUCCAAACUGCAGUCCUCAUGCUUUGGUAGGCACUUUACCGACUGAGCCAUCUCCCCAGCCCCAUGUUUACCGAGCUCAGGUCCUGUUACGUAGCCCGCGUUAGCCUUGAGUUCACAGCAGUUCUCCUGCCUUCGCCUCCUAGAUUCUGGAAUCAGUGAUGUAUGCCACUAUACCCAGAAGAAUGUCUUAGUUUGUACCAUGUGACACAAUAGAAUUCUAAUCAAACGAUACUACAAAGAGGCCCAACUGCAAGACGACUUAUUUUAAGUUCAAGAAAACACAAGCAAAUUCAGAAAGCCAAAGAGGAAAGUGCUGAUAAAUGAAUUUAUGUCAAACAUUUAAAACCUUAACAUGAUGAAAAUGAGGAUAAUGACAACAAGAGCAGCAGCAGAAAAACACUGUGAACAGAGAGAGCCAAAGACAAAUGGAGAGGGGAGAGAUUCUCUGCGAUCCGACAGAAAAGGUACUUCUGCAGUAUGCAAGGAGAUCUUAGUUUCACAAUUCUACCAAAAAACAAAAUGAGCAGAGACAUGGGCAAAGAAUGUGAACAAAUACUUCACGUCCUAAAAAUAAGAAUGGUGUCGAUGUGCUGGAACAUACCUUCGAUCCCAGGCCUGAGGGGAAGUUGAGGCAGGCUGCAGAUUGCUCUGAGUGCCAGGCUAGCCAGGGCUACAGAAGGAGGACUUGUCUUACAACAGCAAACAAACAAAAAGUAGGUGUAGGGGCUUGGAGAGAUGGCUCAGAGGUUAAGAGCACCAGCUGCUUGUCCAGAGGUCUUGAGUUCAAUUCCCAGCAAUCACAUGGUGGCUCACAACCAUCAAUAAUGAGAUCUGGUGCCCUCUUCUGGUGUGUACAUGUUAACUGAACAUUGUAUGCAUAAUUAAAAGAAGUAAAUAAAUCUUUAAAAAAAGAAAAGGAAAAAAAAGUAGGUGUGGUCAAAAUCCCUUGGAAAACAUGUUCAGCUUAGAAAAAUGCAAGCCGUGAGAACAUACUCAUGCUUCUGAGUGACAGAUUUUUUUUUUUGUUUUUGUUUUUGUUUUUUCGAGACAGGGUUUCUCUGUGGCUUUGGAGCCUGUCCUGGCACUAGCUCUGUAGACCAGGCUGGUCUCGAACUCACAGAGAUCCGCCUGCCUCUGCCUCCCGAGUGCUGGGAUUAAAGGCAUGCGCCACCAUCGCCCGGCUGAGUGACAGAUGUUUAAGUUCAAUAAAAUGUGGUUUUUAGCAAAGUUCAGUGGAUGUACCCUACUAUGGAAGCUGAAUCAGGACAAUGUGGGAAGGUUGCAAUUUGGAAGCAUUUAAUUGUGUGUGUUUGAACCUAGGACCUGGCACAUGCUGGGCCAGGAAGAGUUGUCAUUGAGUGUAAAUGUUAAAUGUACAUAUAUUAUGAUCCAGAAAUUUCUUUGAAGUAAUUUAUUCUAUGGAUAAAGUCACAACAGAAGUUUCUAAAUAUAAGGUUAUUCGUGAGAGCAUUAUUUGUAAUAAUAAUAGUAUAAAAUGCAAAGAAUUUAAAUGUCCAUUAAUUAGGCAGUGGUCGGCUUUAUGGCACAGAUAGUGACUACACGAUCUCCAUGUGCUGCCAUGUAAUUUUGCUGACAUAUUAUUAGAUACAGCAUAUAAGAUACUGUAUAUUUACAUAAUCACCCUGCAUAGAAAUAUUGUAUGCAUUCUAUAUCCUUAUAUGGAAAAUAUAGGCUGAGAAAUAGUUCUCAGAGUUUUAACUUGUGAUAAAAGCAAGGGCAUCUUUGUCUUUUUAUACAAAACCACUUUGAAGUUUCCAUUUAUUUUCAUCAUUGUCAUGUCUUACUUUUACAAUUAAAAAUAUGCAAAACAUACCUCAACACCACUUCCCAAAUGUCUCUCAAUGACCCUUCUGAUGCUUUUGAAGGAAAUCUCUGAACUACUGAAGCGAGAUAAGGUUGCACGCUGCUUAAAUCGCUUUUUAGCUGGGAGUGCAAAUAUGGAAAUGUACUGAGCCAUUGUGAUGAGGAAGAUGAUUCUUAGCACCUAAGAAGGCUGCCGCAGAGCAGCUGGCAAGCUCCUACAGCAGCUUGAGGUCAUUCACCCUUCUCUCCUGGCUCAGGCCCAGGCUUCAGCAAAACUUGGAUUUGGAAAAGCCUAAGUGGCCCAGCGAGAGAAAAGCAAUGUGAUAAGCAAUUUUCCUUCUCCUCUUUCUUUCCCUGUCUCUGGAGGUUCUUCGAGAACAUGAAAUUAGAGAUAUAGCCACAAUUCAAAGCUACCGAGAUCUGAGGACAUUUUGAGAAGGCUCUUCGAUGAUUCUCAUUCUUUGUAAUUGCUCUGUGCUUGUGCUUGGCUGGUCCUCUUUAGAGCAUCCCGGGUAUUGUCAGGUCCAAAACCCUCCUUCCUCCAAAAUGGCAGUGCAGGUGGCAUUGCCCUAAACAGGAGGACUUUGGCUGGGUAAACGGAAGGAUUUUGAGCAAGCCUGAAGGUUUGUGUUCACUAGAAAAGCAGCUCUCUUCUGGAGGUUUCUGUUUACCAGGAAUCUUGGCCUGUACCCUUCCCCCAAAUGCCAGCCACGUCAGGCAAGGGCAUCUAGUUCCGGGUCAAUCCACCCGUCUGUGUCAGCUCAGAUCCCUACCCUGCUGGGUGUCAUAUAAAAUCUGCUUGUUUCCCCACCAUUUUGCUUUUCUCUCUGCCUUGAUCCCCAAUAAAUCUGCCUUUCGGCCUUUGGGGCGGUGCAGUCCAGUACUUUCUCUGUGCCGUCUCUCAUAGGUAUGAACCUACAAGGAUGGCCUCUGUCGGGAACUUUUCCCUUCAGUGAAGCGGCACAUUCCGUUCCUGGUACAUUGUCACUUCGUUUCUGUUAGUCAUUUCACAGCUGGAUCUUGGGAGGAGCAAAAUCUGAAAUACUUGGGGCCGAUUUCACAAGUAGGCUGAAAACAAGGCCUUCACAGUUUCUGUUUGUAAUUUUCAAGCCAAAAGAGCCCGUCUGCCUUGGUGGAUGCGUCUUUCCAAACAGUCUCCGUUGUCUGCAGAUCUGUCUACCUGGCUUCCCCUUUGGCUCAGAAACCUCGGUCUGUGGCCAUCCUGUCACAGGUGGACGGAUGCCAGGCUACCCACCGUUGUUUGUUAUUAAAUUGGUGAUGCAAUUUUUGUUUGGCAGUUUUUGACGCUAAGGUUAUUCAAGGAUGCUAUUUAAAAAUCCAAGUGAACUACCAAGAUAGACAUCAGAGCGGAUCAUAGACUUGUUUUUUUUUUAGGCUGUUCAGGGACAGUAGACGAAUGCACAAAUUUGUUAUUGUAGAUUGUUAUGAAUCCCGAAGACGCACAUACGGGGAUCAUUAUUGUGGAUUGGCUUGUGACAGCUGGCCCUGAUUUUACUUAUUUCCUCAAGAAGACACUUUGAACAAUUAUUGAAAUGCCUCCCCUCUGUAAUUACAAUAAUAAUGAUGAUGAUUUUGCAACUGAAUAUGCAAUUCAGGGCAUACACAUGCAACUGUUUUUAGCUUCUUUCUCUUUUUACAUUGAUGUCAGCUGCUGUCUUGGAUUAUGAAGAAUUGAGAAGGACUUUCCAACCAAGGGUCAAUGAGCUACAUGAACAAAGUCAUCUGUGGCCGAUCCAGGAAAUCACUAAAAUAAUAAUUAUUACAGUUAGUAUUUAAGGAACACACUAACUGUGAGCAAGGGUUCUUUCCCCUCUUCUUUUUUUAGGGUCUUUGGAGGGAAAAAAAAUCUAUUUUUAGUACUUAUCUGCUCUUAAAAAUAAAGUAUCUUGCUGAAUAAUAAAAUUAUAAAUGCCUGA